UGGGUCACACCCGCAGCGUUUCUCUAGCAGGGUUCUCAACACUUUCCUGCUGGGAUGCUCAGCCACUCCUGCCCUGAGGUUCGCAGAGAAUUGACCCCCUCUGCCCCUCUCCGAGGCUGAAAAUACCUCUGGGCAGCCUCCCUCCUCCAAUCUGGAGUGAGAUGCUGCUCUGGAAGUGUGGCGAUUGCUUCUCUUCCCUUCCAGUCUCCAGCUGCAGCCCCGUUGGCCAUCCACACUGCUCCCACGGUGGUUCAUUGCACCCUCCAGGCUCAGACUCACUGACACAGACAUCGCCGAUGCUUCUUCUCCUGACUUCCACAGAGAUGCUGAAUACACAAGAAGCAGAGACUACUGGACUGCACUAAUUAGCAUGCUUCAGCGGACCCGAUCAGUUAAGUCUGCUCCAAUGCUCUGUGACUACAGUGCGUCAGAGCAGUGUCCCCACAUGUCUACAGGCAACUGAAAGGAAUAAAAGCUGAACAUGGAGGUGCACUUUCACAGAAACCCCUGCACCAGUCUGCUUGAAACCUGGCAGAGACAGGAGAGUUACAAGGGGCAGAGAGAGAACAAUGCAGCUACAGAGGGAAAGGGAAGCGGUAAGCAGAAGGAAGCAGUAAUACCUUCUCCAGUUUAUUCUUACCAGGUGUGGCAGCUAUAUCAAUAGCAAUACCAGCACAUACCCCCAAAUGUACUGGGGCAGGCUACAGAGCUUUGCUUAGUGAAGACCAUAUAGAGUGCUCAGUUACCUCAAAGUGAGUCUAGAAAACUUCCCAGAACACAUAUACCCCUUUCCCUUAAACUGCAAAGAAUAUAUGUUAAGAAGAAGCAUGAUGAAGGUUGUGCAUUAAUAUCCAUUGGAGUGAAGGACUUCAAAGACUGACUCUUAUUAUACUGUGAUUGUGAAUUUUGGAUACCAGAGAUACAUUGUAAUAUGCAGUAUGUGUUAAUAAUGUAUUUUACCUGGGGGGGGGGGCGUAUAUAAGAGUAAAUUUGUGUUAUACAUUUAAGCAAAGAAAGGUAGUUCAUAAAAAGUCUGUUUGCCUUAUUUUCCUACUUCUUUCAACUAUUAUUGUGCAGCAGAUGGUAAUGCAGCAGAAGAUUUAGAAUAUUGACUUACACAAUAAACAGCAUGCUUCAUUUUGCCAUGAACAAUAAGAUACUUAUUUCUUACUUGCUGAGUGAUCAUCAUCCUUCUCCUAAACAGGUUUUUCUUAAACUGGCAUAUUUGUUUUUAUUCAAACAAACUUUUGAGUUCAAAUAAUCUCUGCAGUCCUUUGCAACCUGCACUCCAUUGCAGGUGUCUUUCUAAUUAAAGAACGUAAACCUCUUGUUUUACUGUGCAUCAUAUGUAUUUUACUACUGUAGCCUGGGUGUACACAGGUUUAUACUUCCUUCUCCAGUUGAGGGAAUUAUUGGCAGGGCAGUGUGCUGUGGAGGGACAGAACAGCCCAGUGGCCACCUCCAUCACCUAUAGAGUCAGGUCUAGUCAAUCAAUUACUUAACUAUAUACAGGUUUAUUAUUACAACAAA